rnacentral:rRNA from 1 species
GACGAACGCUGGCGGCGUGCCUAAUACAUGCAAGUCGAGCGGAGUUUUAAAAGCUUGCUUUUAAAAACUCAGCGGCGGACGGGUGAGUAACACGUGGGCAACCUGCCCUGUAGACUGGGAUAACUUCGGGAAACCGAAGCUAAUACCGGAUAAUCAUAGAAGUUGCAUAGCUUCUAUGUAAAAGUUGGGUUUACCUAACACUACAGGAUGGGCCCGCGUCGCAUUAGCUAGUUGGUAAGGUAACGGCUUACCAAGGCGACGAUGCGUAGCCGACCUGAGAGGGUGAUCGGCCACACUGGGGACUGAGACACGGGCCCAGACUUCCUUACGGGGAGGGCAGCCAGUUAGGGAAAUCUUUCCCGCAAAUGGGACGGAAAAGUUCUGGACGGAAGCAAACCGGCCCGGCGUGAAGCCGGAUGAAAGGGCCCUUU